rnacentral:snRNA from 1 species
GUUUUUGUUUUGGCAGCACAUGUACGAAAAUUGGAAUGACACAGAGAUUAGCAUGGCCCUGGUGCAAGGAUGACAUGGAAAUUCAUGAAGCAUUCCCUGUUGUU